rnacentral:rRNA from 1 species
GAUGAACGCUGGCGGCGUGCUUAACACAUGCAAGUCGAACGGAAAGGCUCCUGCUUGCAGGGGUACUCGAGUGGCGAACGGGUGAGUAACACGUGGGUGAUCUGCCCUGCACUUCGGGAUAAGCCUGGGAAACUGGGUCUAAUACCGGAUAGGACCACAUUUUGGAUGGUGUGGUGGAAAGUUUUUCGGUGUGGGAUGAGCUCGCGGCCUAUCAGCUUGUUGGUGGGGUAAUUGCCUACCAAGGCGUCGACGGGUAGCCGGCCUGAGAGGGUGUACGGCCACAUUGGGACUGAGAUACGGCCCAUACUCCUACGGGAGGCAGCAGUGGGGAAUAUUGCACAAUGGGCGCAAGCCUGAUGCAGCGACGCCGCGUGGGGGAUGACGGCCUUCGGGUUGUAAACUCCUUUCGCUAGGGACGAAGCGCAAGUGACGGUACCUGGAGAAGAAGCACCGGCUAACUACGUG